UACGUAGGUGGCAAGCGUUGUCCGGAUUUAUUGGGCGUAAAGGGAGCGCAGGCGGUGACUUAAGUCUGAUGUGAAAGCCCACGGCUCAACCGUGGAAGGUCAUUGGAAACUGGGUCACUUGAAUAUAGAAGAGGAAAGUGGAAUUCCUAGUGUAGCGGUGAAAUGCGUAGAUAUUAGGAGGAACACCAGUAGCGAAGGCGGUCGCCUGGCCCAAUACUGACGCUGAUGCUCGAAAGCUAGGGGAGCAAACAGGAUUAGAUACCCGCGUA
rnacentral:rRNA from 1 species